rnacentral:rRNA from 1 species
UUCCGGUUGAUCCUGCCGGAGGCUACUGCUAUUGGGAUUCGACUAAGCCAUGCGAGUCAAGGUGUCUUCGGACGCCGGCAUACGGCUCAGUAACACGUAGGUAACCUACCCUCAGGACUGAGAUAACCCCGGGAAACUGGGGCUAAUAUUAGAUAGAUAAAAGGUACUGGAAUGUUCUUUUAUCCAAAGCUUUUGCGCCUGAGGAUGGGCCUGCGCCCGAUUAGGUUGUUGGUGGGGUAAUGGCCCACCAAGCCUACGAUCGGUACGGGCAGUGGGAGCUGAAGCCCGGAGUUGGGGACUGAGACAAGGCCCCAGGCCCUACGGGGCGCAGCAGGCGCGAAACCUCUGCAAUGCGGGAAACCGUGACAGGGGGAUCCCAAGUGCUCAUGCAUUGCAUGGGCUGUUCUUUGGUCUAAGUAACCAGAGGAGUAAGGGCUGGGCAAGACCGGUGCCAGCCGCCGCGGUAAUACCGGCAGCUCAAGUGGUAGCCGCAAUUAUUGGGCCUAAAACGUUCGUAGCCGGAUAAGUAAGUCUUUGGUUAAAUCCUGCGACUUAACCGUGGGAAAUCUAGAGAUACUGCUUGUCUUGAGACCGGGAGAGGUUGGAGGUACUCCCAGGGUAGGGGUGAAAUCCUGUAAUCCUGGGGGGACCACCUGUGGCGAAGGCGUCCAACUGGAACGGGUCUGACGGUGAGGGACGAAACCUAGGGGAGCGAGCCGGAUUAGAUAUCCGGGUAGUCCUAGGCGUAAAUGAUGCGAGUUAAGUGUGGGGGGCAUCCACGAGAUGGCCCUGUGCUGUAGGGUAGCCGUUAAACUCGCUGCCUGGGGAGUACGGUCGCAAGGCUGAAGCUUAAAGGAAUUGGCGGGGGAGCACCACAAGAGGUGGAGGCUGCGGUUCAAUUGGAUUCAACGCCGGA